UGGGGAAUAUUGGACAAUGGGCGCAAGCCUGAUCCAGCAACGCCGCGUGUGUGAAGAAGGCCUUCGGGUUGUAAAGCACUUUUAUCAGGAGCGAAACGCUGUCGGCUAAUACCCGGCGGAACUGACGGUACCUGAGGAAUAAGCACCGGCUAACUUCGUGCCAGCAGCCGCGGUAAUACGAAGGGUGCAAGCGUUAAUCGGAAUUACUGGGCGUAAAGCGUGCGUAGGCGGUUUCUUAAGUCUGCUGUGAAAUCCCCGGGCUCAACCUGGGAAUGGCAGUGGAUACUGGGAGGCUAGAGUGUGUCAGAGGGUGGUGGAAUUCCCGGUGUAGCGGUGAAAUGCGUAGAGAUCGGGAGGAACAUCAGUGGCGAAGGCGGCCACCUGGGACAACACUGACGCUGAGGCACGAAAGCGUGGGGAGCAAACAGGAUUAGAUACCCUGGUAGUCCACGCCCUAAACGAUGCGAACUGGAUGUUGGUCUCAACUCGGAGAUCAGUGUCGAAGCUAACGCGUUAAGUUCGCCGCCUGGGGAGUACGGUCGCAAGACUGAAACUCAAAUGAAUUGACGGGGUCAUAGCUGUUUCCUG
rnacentral:rRNA from 1 species